AGAUUAAACUAAAGAGUUUGAUCCUGGCUCAGAUUGAACGCUGGCGGCAUGCCUUACACAUGCAAGUCGAACGGCAGCACGGAGCUUGCUCUGGUGGCGAGUGGCGAACGGGUGAGUAAAAUAUCGGAACGUACCCAGGAGUGGGGGAUAACGUAGCGAAAGUUACGCUAAUACCGCAUACGUCCUAAGGGAGAAAGUGGGGGAUCGCAAGACCUCAUGCUCAUGGAGCGGCCGAUAUCUGAUUAGCUAGUUGGUGGGGUAAAGGCCUACCAAGGCAACGAUCAGUAGCUGGUCUGAGAGGACGACCAGCCACACUGGAACUGAGACACGGUCCAGACUCCUACGGGAGGCAGCAGUGGGGAAUUUUGGACAAUGGGGGCAACCCUGAUCCAGCAAUGCCGCGUGAGUGAAGAAGGCCUUCGGGUUGUAAAGCUCUUUUGUCAGGGAAGAAAAGGGA
rnacentral:rRNA from 1 species